rnacentral:rRNA from 1 species
GUACACACCGCCCGUCACACCAUGGGAGUCGUUUGCUCCAGAAGUGCCUGCACCAACCCGCAAGGGAAGUAGGGCCCCAAGGAGUGAACGGUAACUGGGGUGAAGUCGUAACAAGGUAGCCGUAGGUGAACCUGCAGAUGGAU